rnacentral:rRNA from 1 species
AUGGACGUCGUCAAGGUGGCCACUACCGUAAGUGGCCUCACGAUCUCUGAUAAGGGGGCCGCUACUUCCGCCAAGACGACCACCGGCCAGGAGGGUCGGGCUCAGGUGGUCUUGGCGCCUGCUCCGGCUGGUGCGCCACUUGGUCAGGUGGACCAGGUGGGCGUGCCGGCUACUCGGGUCCAGGGCCACAUGUCCCUGGAGAACUCGUCCAAGGGUGCAACGCAUGUCCAGGAGGGUCUUUUGCGUGCUGCACCUGCUCCGAAUCAGGCUCUCCAGGAGAGUCAGAAGUCCACGGGUACUCAGCCGCUGGGGAUGUCCAGCAAAACCCCAGCGCCUGGGGCUGAUACGGGCCUCCUGCUCUUCCAGCCGGGGGUGCUGGAUGUGUUGACAAACGCGGUAGCUGCAAGGUUUGGUAAAACAGGUGGCGGGACAGAGAACAAUACCGUAUGCUUUAAAUUCAGUGCAGCUAAGAAUCACACGCAGGGUAACUACAAAAAGAAAGAUAAAAAUAAAGGGGGCAAAAUAGAGAUGAGGAUGCUCGCAAGCAAGUCCUAG